rnacentral:tRNA from 1 species
GGAGAGGUCGCAUAGAGGCCUAGUGCGCGCGCUUGGAAAGCGCGUAUACCGCAAGGUAUCGAGGGUUCGAAUCCCUCCCUCUCCG